GACGAACCGAGCGAACGUUGUUCGGAAUCACUGGGCGUAAAGCGCACGUAGGCGGCUUUUUAAGUCAGGGGUGAAAUCCUGGAGCUCAACUCCAGAACUGCCUUUGAUACUGAGGAUCUUGAGUACGGGAGAGGUGAGUGGAACUGCGAGUGUAGAGGUGAAAUUCGUAGAUAUUCGCAAGAACACCAGUGGCGAAGGCGGCUCACUGGCCCGUAACUGACGCUGAGGCACGAAAGCGUGGGGAGCAAACAGG
rnacentral:rRNA from 1 species